GCAAUCUACCUUUUACAGGGGGAUAGCCCAGAGAAAUUUGGAUUAAUACCCCAUGGUAUAAUUGAAUGGCAUCAUUUAAUUAUUAAAGUCACAACGGUAAAAGAUGAGCAUGCGUCCCAUUAGCUAGUUGGUAAGGUAACGGCUUACCAAGGCUACGAUGGGUAGGGGUCCUGAGAGGGAGAUCC
rnacentral:rRNA from 1 species